UACACUCUGGAUUCCUGGACAUCUUUUUA
rnacentral:piRNA from 1 species